rnacentral:rRNA from 1 species
AUGAACGCUAGCGGCAGGCUUAACACAUGCAAGUCGAGGGGCAGCGCGGGAUAGCAAUAUCCUGGCGGCGACCGGCGGAAGGGUGCGUAACGCGUGAGCGACAUGCCCGUUGCCCGGGGACAACCGGUGGAAACGCCGACUAAUCCCCGAUGGGAUAUUGUGCCGCAUGGCACGAUAUUGAAAGUUACGGCGGCGACGGAUUGGCUCGCGUCCGAUUAGCUUGUUGGCGGGGUAACGGCCCACCAAGGCUACGAUCGGUAGGGGUUCUGAGAGGAAGGCCCCCCACAAUGGGACUGAGACACGGCCCAUACUCCUACGGGAGGCAGCAGUGAGGAAUAUUGGUCAAUGGGCGGAAGCCUGAACCAGCCAUGCCGCGUGCGGGAAGGAGGCCCUAUGGGCUGUGAACCGCUUUUGCCUGGGGGCAAUAAGGGCGUCGCGCACGUCCGAUGAGAGUACCAGGCGAAUAAGCAUCGGCUAACUCCGUGCCAGCAGCCGCGGUAAUACGGGGGAUGCGAGCGUUAUCCGGAUUCAUUGGGUUUAAAGGGUGCGUAGGCUGUGCGUCAAGUCGGGGGUGAAAUUCCGGUGCUCAACACCGGGGCUGCCCUUGAUACUGUCGCGCUGGAGUGCGGAUGCCGCCGGAGGAAUGAGUGGUGUAGCGGUGAAAUGCUUAGAUAUCACUCAGAACACCGAUUGCGAAGGCAUCUGGCGAAUCCGUAACUGACGCUGAGGCACGAAAGCGUGGGGAUAGAACAGGAUUAGAUACCCUGGUAGUCCACGCCGUAAACGAUGAGUGCUAAGUGUUAGGGGGUUUCCGCCCCUUAGUGCUGCAGCUAACGCAUUAAGCACUCCGCCUGGGGAGUACGACCGCAAGGUUGAAACUCAAAGGAAUUGACGGGGGCCCGCACAAGCGGAGGAACAUGUGGUUUAAUUCGAUGAUACGCGAGGAACCUUACCCGGGCUCGAACGGCACCUGAAUCACCCAGAGAUGGUUGAGUCUUCGGACAGGUGUCGAGGUGCUGCAUGGUUGUCGUCAGCUCGUGCCGUGAGGUGUCGGCUCAAGUGCCAUAACGAGCGCAACCCUUGCCGCCAGUUGCCAUCAGGUCAAGCUGGGCACUCUGGCGGGACUGCCACCGCAAGGUGUGAGGAGGGGGGGGAUGACGUCAAAUCAGCACGGCCCUUACGUCCGGGGCGACACACGUGUUACAAUGGCGGCCACAGAGGGAUGCUACCCCGCGAGGGGAUGCGGAUCUCGAAAAGCCGUCCCAGUUCGGACUGGAGUCUGCAACCCGACUCCACGAAGUUGGAUUCGCUAGUAAUCGCGCAUCAGCCAUGGCGCGGUGAAUACGUUCCCGGGCCUUGUACACACCGCCCGUCAAGCCAUGGAAGCCGCGGGCGCCUGAAGUCCGUGACCGGAAGGAGCGGCCUAGGGCGAAAGUGGUAACUGGGGCU